CAGUAGCCACGGUAAUACGUAGGGUCCGAGCGUUGUCCGGAAUUACUGGGCGUAAAGCGCACGUAGGCGGAUAUUUAAGUCAGGGGUGAAAUCCCGCAGCUCAACUGCGGAACUGCCUUUGAUACUGGGUAUCUUGAGUAUGGAAGAGGUUAGUGGAAUUGCGAGUGUAGAGGUGAAAUUCGUAGAUAUUCGCAGGAACACCAGUGGCGAAGGCGGCUAACUGGUCCAUAACUGGCGCUGAGGUGCGAAAGCGUGGGGAGCAAACAGGAUUAGAUACCCCAGUAGUCCCUGUCUCUUAUAC
rnacentral:rRNA from 1 species